UUGCCUUUUGUGAUACGCUUUCAAAGAGUCAGGUUGUUUGGGAAUGCAGCCUAAAUUGGGUGGUAAAUCUCACCUAAAGCUAAAUAUUGGCGAGAAACCGAUAGCGAACAAGUACCGUGAGGGAAAGAUGAAAAGAACUUUGAAAAGAGAGUUAAACAGUAUGUGAAAUUGUUAAAAGGGAACCGUUUGGAGCCAGACUGGCUUGUCUGUAAUCAAUCUAGGCUUCGGCCUGGAUGCACUUGCAGGCUAUGCCUGCCAACGACAAUUUGACUUGAGGGAAAAAACUAGGGGAAAUGUGGCCCACUUGUGGGUGUUAUAGUCCCUUAGAAAAUACCUUGGGUUGGAUUGAGGAACGCAGCGAAUGCUUAUUGGCGAGUUUUCCAGGAAGGUUUUCUGAGGUACUACGGUAUCAAGGUUGAUCUUUUUGGUUAUACUUCUAUUCGCU
rnacentral:rRNA from 2 species